rnacentral:rRNA from 1 species
UACAGAGGUCUCAAGCGUUGUUCGGAUUCAUUGGGCGUAAAGGGUGCGUAGGCGGCGCGGUAAGUCGGGUGUGAAAUCUCGGAGCUUAACUCCGAAACUGCAUUCGAUACUGCCGUGCUUGAGGACUGGAGAGGAGACUGGAAUUUACGGUGUAGCGGUGAAAUGCGUAGAUAUCGUAAGGAACACCUGUGGCGAAAGCGGCUCACUGGACCAUUACUGACGCUGAUGUACGAAAGCUAGGGGAGCAAACAGG